GACCCCAGGUCAGGCGGGGAC
rnacentral:rRNA from 1 species